rnacentral:rRNA from 1 species
GAUCCUGGCUCAGGAUGAACGCUAGCUACAGGCUUAACACAUGCAAGUCGAGGGGAAACGAUAUUGGAAGCUUGCUUCCGAUAGGCGUCGACCGGCGCACGGGUGAGUAACGCGUAUCCAACCUGCCCACCACUUGGGGAUAACCUUGCGAAAGUAAGACUAAUACCCAAUGAUAUCUCUAGAAGACAUCUGAAAGAGAUUAAAGAUUUACCGGUGUAAGAUGGGGAUGCGUUCCAUUAGAUAG